rnacentral:rRNA from 1 species
AUUGAACGCUGGCGGAAUGCUUUACACAUGCAAGUCGAACGGCAGCACGGGGGCAACCCUGGUGGCGAGUGGCGAACGGGUGAGUAAUACAUCGGAACGUGCCCAGUCGUGGGGGAUAACGUAGCGAAAGCUACGCUAAUACCGCAUACGAUCUACGGAUGAAAGCGGGGGAUCGCAAAGACCUCGCGCGAUUGGAGCGGCCGAUGGCAGAUUAGGUAGUUGGUGGGGUAAAGGCUCACCAAGCCUUCGAUCUGUAGCUGGUCUGAGAGGACGACCAGCCACACUGGGACUGAGACACGGCCCAGACUCCUACGGGAGGCAGCAGUGGGGAAUUUUGGACAAUGGGCGAAAGCCUGAUCCAGCCAUUCCGCGUGCAGGAUGAAGGCCCUCGGGUUGUAAACUGCUUUUGUACGGAACGAAACGGCCUUUUCUAAUACAGAGGGCUAAUGACGGUACCGUAAGAAUAAGCACCGGCUAACUACGUGCCAGCAGCCGCGGUAA